rnacentral:tRNA from 1 species
GGGCCUGUAGCUCAGUUGGUAGAGCGCCACGUUUACACCGUGGAUGUCGUCGGUUCGAGCCCGGCCGGGCCCAC